rnacentral:tRNA from 1 species
GCAAGAGUGGCGAAAUUAGCAGACUCGCUGGAUUGACGAUCCAGUGGGGCAUCCCGUGCAGGUUCGAGUCCUGUCUCUCGCA